rnacentral:rRNA from 1 species
UACGGGGGGUGCGAGCGUUGUCCGGAAUCACUGGGCGUAAAGGGCGCGUAGGUGGUUUGAUAAGGGUGUGGUGAAAGUCCGGGGCUCAACCCCGGAUCUGCCGUGCCGACUGUCAAACUCGAGGGCUGUAGAGGCAGACGGAAUUCCGGGUGUAGCGGUGGAAUGCGCAGAUAUCAGGAGGAACACCGGUGGCGAAGGCGGGUCUCUGGGCCGAUACUGACGCUGAGGAGCGAAAGCGUGGGGAGCGAACAGG